UACUCCUACGGGAGGCAGCAGUAGGGAAUCUUCCGCAAUGGGCGAAAGCCUGACGGAGCAACGCCGCGUGAGUGAUGAAGGUCUUCGGAUCGUAAAACUCUGUUAUUAGGGAAGAACAUAUGUGUAAGUAACUGUGCACAUCUUGACGGUACCUAAUCAGAAAGCCACGGCUAACUACGUGCCAGCAGCCGCGGUAAUACGUAGGUGGCAAGCGUUAUCCGGAAUUAUUGGGCGUAAAGCGCGCGUAGGCGGUUUUUUAAGUCUGAUGUGAAAGCCCACGGCUCAACCGUGGAGGGUCAUUGGAAACUGGAAAACUUGAGUGCAGAAGAGGAAAGUGGAAUUCCAUGUGUAGCGGUGAAAUGCGCAGAGAUAUGGAGGAACACCAGUGGCGAAGGCGACUUUCUGGUCUGUAACUGACGCUGAUGUGCGAAAGCGUGGGGAUCAAACAGGAUUAGAUACCCUGGUAGUCCACGCCGUAAACGAUGAGUGCUAAGUGUUAGGGGGUUUCCGCCCCUUAGUGCUGCAGCUAACGCAUUAAGCACUCCGCCUGGGGAGUACGACCGCAAGGUUGAAACUCAAAGGAAUUAACGGA
rnacentral:rRNA from 1 species